UGGGGAAUUUUGGACAAUGGGCGCAAGCCUGAUCCAGCCAUGCCGCGUGCGGGAAGAAGGCCUUCGGGUUGUAAACCGCUUUUGUCAGGGAAGAAAUCUUCUGAGUUAAUACCUCGGGAGGAUGACGGUACCUGAAGAAUAAGCACCGGCUAACUACGUGCCAGCAGCCGCGGUAAUACGUAGGGUGCAAGCGUUAAUCGGAAUUACUGGGCGUAAAGCGUGCGCAGGCGGUUUUGUAAGACAGAGGUGAAAUCCCCGGGCUCAACCUGGGAACUGCCUUUGUGACUGCAAGGCUUGAGUGCGGCAGAGGGGGAUGGAAUUCCGCGUGUAGCAGUGAAAUGCGUAGAUAUGCGGAGGAACACCGAUGGCGAAGGCAAUCCCCUGGGCCUGCACUGACGCUCAUGCACGAAAGCGUGGGGAGCAAACAGGAUUAGAUACCCUGGUAGUCCACGCCCUAAACGACGUCAACUGGUUGUUGGGAAGGUUCCUUCUCAGUAACGUAGCUAACGCGUGAAGUUGACCGCCUGGGGAGUACGGCCGCAAGGUUG
rnacentral:rRNA from 1 species